UAAUUAAACCCUGCAAUUUAAAAAAAAAAAAAAGGCUUGUAAGUGAAGGAUGAAAUAUUCAAAUAGUUGGACUAGACUAUUUUGUUCAUGAAUCCCACGGCGUGUUGGAAAUUUCUCAUAUUAGAGAAGUAGACUCUUGAAAAAUUGAGCUUAUAAAGGUCAAGAGUGGAACAUUUCAAAAAAAAUAUUUGACAUAAAUUCAAAGGGUGGAAUAUCUCAAAAUUUUUAUAAAAAAUUUGAGAAUAGGUGGACAUAUUUAAAUAAUCUGUUAUUAUUUUUUAUGUUGCUUGAAUUUUAGAUAUGUUUUCAUGCAUCCGAAUUGUAACUCGACCCGAAAGCUCCGUGUGGAAACCUGAUUGGGAUAAAAGUGAGAUCUGUGGUGGUAGCAGAGAGCACGGGCCAAUAGGUCCAGGCCCGAAGCCCAUCACUGAUUUCCUUAGGGGUGCGAGGGCAACGCCCCGCAGUAUAUACUAGUAUAAAUAUUGUAAUAUUCUACUAUUUGCAGUAGAGUUGUGAGAUAUUCGGAAA
rnacentral:misc_RNA from 1 species